rnacentral:lncRNA from 10 species
AGUAGAGAUGGGGUUUCAACAUAUUGGCCAGGCUGCUCCUGAACUCCCGAUCUUGUGAUCCACCCACCUGGGCCUCCCAAAGUGCUGGGAUUACAGGCGUGGGCCACCGCGCCCGGCUAUCUUGAGCAUUCUUGACAGACUCCUCGCUGUCAAUUUAUCAGUGGCAACUAUUCACUGGUUGGAAAUGGGAAGCAAUAAUAGUCAUCUGACCAGUUUUCUCUUAAAGCCAUUUCUAUGAUGAUGAUGAUGAUGGGACUCAAUUAUGUUUUUUAUUUCAGUCACUCCUAAUAAAUAACAAAUUUGGAGAAAUAAAAAUAUCUUAAGAAAAGAAAAAAGAAAAGAAAAGAAAGGCUUCACACCAUGGAAUGACAAGUGCUCAAAUGGCUCUCAGUAAGUGCUCACGGGGACACCACUGUCAGAGUGGUGAGCAAUCAUCUACCACAAAAUGGAACAAAGCAGCAGAGGUACGUAGGAAGCAGGUGAGAACAUACAACCUCUAAGGCCCAUAUAAAUCUGUCAAGAAAACUUUCUGGAGGAAGGAAAGAUAGAAGAAAGACCUGGAUAUCAGCAUUUGGUAACGUCUACUUCGAUCUUCCUGACAACUACAUUCAAACUGACCUGAGUGUGCUGGCCCCAAGCACAUCAUCCAGCUUGAGUUUCAAUGCUGGUUGGGAGAAAAGGAAAUUGAGGGCAAGUCAGAGCCCAGAAAGGAGCGCAAUUUAGAACUGCACAGCGGGGGAGACUGAGUUUGAGUGUAGGAAACGGGAAAGGGGGCGUGUGGGGUAAAGAGGUGAGCGCAGUGGAGUCAGGCCUUAGUGAACAAGUGUGCUUGAAGGUGGAGAUGGGCACCCCUCUGGCUGAGUCUGCUCCAGUAGAGAGCUCAGGGGCCAGCAGCAGGCACCGCAAGGAGCAAAGCAACUGGUGUAAGCCCCACAGCUUCCUGCGACCAACAGUGCUUUGUUGUGCCCAGGCAUCUGUUCAGUCCCAUCUUUUAUUUUAAGACAGGAUCUGGCUCUGUUACCCAGGCUGGAGUGCAGUGGUACAAUCUGAGCUCACUGCAGCCCAAACUCCUGGGUUCAAGCAAUCCUCUUACCAUCGCCUCCCAAGCAGCUGGGAUUAUGGGUGCACACCACCAUGGCCCACUAAUUUUCUACUUUUUGUAGAGAUGGGGUCUCACUAUGUUGCCCAGUCUUGUCUCAAACUCCUGGGCCACCUCAGCUUCCCAAACUGUUGGGAUAAGAGGCAUGAGCCACUGCACCUGGCCUCAAUUUUUUCAAUUUUGUUUUUAAAAGCAGACAUCUCCCUGGUUGGAGCAAGGAGGAAACAUGGCUUUAGAAAGUUUCCAGGUCCAAGGAGAAGCCCCACAACAGUUUGAGAUCUUUCCAGAAUGAUCCACACUCGACCUCCUCAUCCCUCUUACCAAAGAGCGACACCUUGUUCGUGGAAGUAGGAGGAGAUACACACCCAGUACCUGUCCUCAUCCAACAAAGUCGCAGGCACCCAAGGGCAGCCACGCUGCCACCGAAGGCCCCCGGCUGCUCACAACCGC